AACGAACGCUGGCGGCAUGCCUAACACAUGCAAGUCGAACGAGGCCUUCGGGCUUAGUGGCGCACGGGUGCGUAACGCGUGGGAAUCUGCCCUUGGGUUCGGAAUAACAGUUGGAAAUGACUGCUAAUACCGAAUGAUGUCUUCGGACCAAAAGAUUUAUCGCCCAAGGAUGAGCCCGCGUCGGAUUAGCUAGUUGGUGAGGUAAAGGCUCACCAAGGCGACGAUCCGUAGCUGGUCUGAGAGGAUGAUCAGCCACACUGGGACUGAGACACGGCCCAGACUCCUACGGGAGGCAGCAGUGGGGAAUAUUGGGACAAUGGGCGGAAAGCCUGAUCCAGCAAUGCCGCGUGAGUGAUGAAGGCCUUAGGGGUUGUAAAGCUCUUUUACCCGGGAUGAUAAUGACAGUACCGGAGAAUAAGCCCCGGCUAACUCCGUGCCAGCAGCCG
rnacentral:rRNA from 1 species